rnacentral:rRNA from 1 species
UUACGCUGUUAUCCCUAAGGUAAUUUAAUCUUAUAAUCAAUAUAACUGGAUCAAUAAUAUAUAUAUAUAUAUAUUUAUAAUAAAACAAGAGUUAUUUUUAUCUUAUCAUCACCCCAAUUAAAUAGUUUAAUAAUAAUUCAACUAAAUUCCAAACUAAAUUAUAAUAAAACUAUUAAAUUCUAUAGGGUCUUAUCGUCCCAUAAAUAAAUUUAAGCUUUUUAACUUAAUUAUUAAAUUCAAAUUAAUUAAUUCAAGAUAGAUUUCAUCUCGCUCAACCAUUCAUUCUAGCCUUUAAUUAAAAGACUAAUUAUUAUGCUACCUUUGCACGGUCAAAUUACCGCGGCCAUUAAAUAAAUUUAUCAUUGGGCAGGUUAUAUUUCAUAUUAAAACAAGAAAAGAUGUUUUUGUUAAACAGGCG